UACGAGGGGGGCGAGCGUUGUUCGGAAUUAUUGGGCGUAAAGGGCGCGUAGGCGGUUUGAUAAGUCUGAUGUGAAAUCUAUGGGCUCAACCCAUAGCCUGCAUUAGAAACUGUCGGGCUUGAGUAUGGGAGAGGUGAGUGGAAUUUCCGGUGUAGCGGUGAAAUGCGUAGAUAUCGGAAGGAACACCUGUGGCGAAAGCGGCUCACUGGACCAUUACUGACGCUGAUGCACGAAAGCUAGGGGAGCAAACAGG
rnacentral:rRNA from 1 species